rnacentral:rRNA from 1 species
CACAUGAGCGGCGAGCAUUAUCCGCAAUUAUUGGGCGUAUAGGAUACGUAGAUGUAUUAUGUAGUCUAGCUUUACUAAACAAGUUUAUUUAGUAUUUAUAGAAACCAUAAUAUAGAGUUAAAAAGAAGUUUACGUUACCCACAAAUGAGCGAUAAAAUGCAACUAUUUUGGGGAGGACACCAAAAGCGAAGGCAGUUUGCUAUUUUUAACUGACAUUGAGGUAUUAAAGUGCAGGGAUCAAGUAGGAUUAGAGACCCUAUUAGUCUGCACCCUAAACUAUGAGCAUAAAAUCUUUAUAAUUGUUUAAGGAUUUAAGUUAACGCGCAAAUGCUCCGCCUGGGAAGUACAACAUCAAUGUUGAAACUUAACAGAAUUGGCGGGAAUUUAAUUUAACGGUGGAACAUGUGGUUUAAUUCGAUAAUCCGCGAAAAACCUUACCGAUAUCGUUAUAAAUCUAAUAUUUUUUAAUAAAAAAAAAAUUUAGACAUAUACGCGGUGUUGCAUGGCUGUCGUCAGUUCGUGUUGUGAGAUGUAAAAUUAACUUUUUUAACGGACGCAACCCCAGGUAUUUGUUUUAUUUAAAAUUUAUUUAAGCUGCGUAUUUAGCUUAUAUAAUUAAAUUACUAAUACACAAUGAAUAUAUUUAUAUUUAUUAAGGUUGGGCUGAAGUCAAGUCCUUAUGGCCUCCAUAUAUCGGGCUACACACGUGUUACAAUGGUAGAGACAAAGUGUUACUAUAAUUAAAUUUGGAGUAAAUCACUAAAAUCUAUCCCAGUUCGGAUUGUUUUCUGCAAGCUGAAAGCAUGAAGUUGAAAUCGUUAGUAAUCGUAGAUUAGUACGCUACGGUGAAUUAAAAAUUAAAUUCUGCACACACCGCCCAUCACGCUCGAAAAGUUGGGAAGACAGAAAAUAUUGCUUACUAAGUCAUGAAUAUGUUCAUGUUUAUCUGUAAACUCGAUGUAUUGUGAUAUUGAAACUCUUGCUAGCAAUUUGAGUGAAGUUG